UAAUACGUAGGGUGCGAGCGUUGUCCGGAAUUAUUGGGCGUAAAGAGCUCGUAGGCGGUUUGUUGCGUCGGCCGUGAAAACUUCACGCUUAACGUGGAGCUUGCGGUCGAUACGGGCAGACUUGAGUUCGGUAGGGGAGACUGGAAUUCCUGGUGUAGCGGUGAAAUGCGCAGAUAUCAGGAGGAACACCGGUGGCGAAGGCGGGUCUCUGGGCCGAUACUGACGCUGAGGAGCGAAAGCGUGGGGAGCGAACAGGAUUAGAUACCCUGGUAGUCCACGCCGUAAACGUUGGGCGCUAGGUGUGGGGUCCUUUUUUGGGUUCCGUGCCGUAGCUAACGCAUUAAGCGCCCCGCCUGGGGAGUACGGCCGCAAGGCUA
rnacentral:rRNA from 1 species